rnacentral:rRNA from 1 species
AUUGAACGCUGGCGGCAGGCCUAACACAUGCAAGUCGAACGAGUGGCGGACGGGUGAGUAAUGUCUGGGAAACUGCCUGAUGGAGGGGGAUAACUACUGGAAACGGUAGCUAAUACCGCAUACCAUCGGAUGUGCCCAGAUGGGAUUAGCUAGUAGGUGGGGUAACGGCUCACCUAGGCGACGAUCCCUAGCUGGUCUGAGAGGAGGACCAGCGACACUGGAGCUGGGACACGGUCCAGACGCCGACGGGAGGCAGGAGGGGGGAAUAUUGCACAAUGGGCGCAAGCCUGAUGCAGCCAUGCAGCGUGUAUGAAGAAGGCCUUCGGGUUGUAAAGUACUGUCAGCGGGGAGGCGUUACCCGCAGAAGAAGCACCGGCUAACUCCGUGCCAGCAGCCGCGGUAAUAC